AUGGAAAUGAUGCCACUAAAAUUGGCGAAGUAAGGACUUCUGAAGAUUCUCUCCUCCAUAAAAGGAACAAGAACCUGCUAAAAAGAACCAUCGAGGCUGCUGGAACGUUGAUCUUGAACUUACAGCCUCUUCAGUUAUCAAGACCCUGCAGAAAGUCCUUACCAACAAGCAGACCCUCAUCAGAUGCAGCUGAACCCUUGAUCUUGGACCUCAAGACUUUCUGCCCUCUGCAUCUGGAAUCCCGAAGUGUUUCAUCAAGACUCUUCUGACCUGACCUCUCAAUCACUUGGAUCCAGAGGAAGUGACCAACAAUAGUGGAGCGUUGUGU